AUUGAACGCUGGCGGCAGGCCUAACACAUGCAAGUCGCACGAGUAGCGGACGGGUGAAUAAUGUCUGGGAAACUGCCUGAUGGAGGGGGUUAACUAAUGGAAACGGUAUCUAAUACCGCAUACCAUCGGAUGUGCCCAGAGGGGAUUAGCUAGUAGAUGGGGUAACGGCUCACCUAGGCGACGAUCCCUAGCUGGUCUUCGAGGAUGACCAGCCACACGGGAACUUAGACACGGUCCAGACUCUCACGCGAGGUAGCAGUGGGGAAUAUUGCACAAUGGGCGCAAGCCUGAUGCAGCCAUGCCGCGUGUAUGAAGAAGGUUUUCGGGUUGUAAAGUACUUUCAGCGGGGAGGCGUUACCCGCAGAAGAAGCACCUGCUAACUCCGUGCCAGCAGCCGCGGUAAUUC
rnacentral:rRNA from 1 species